rnacentral:rRNA from 1 species
CGUGUAGGCGGCUUGGUAAGUCAGAUGUGAAAGCCCAGGGCUCAACCCUGGAAGUGCAUUUGAUACUGCCAUGCUUGAGUAUGGGAGAGGAGAGCGGAAUUCCCAGUGUAGAGGUGAAAUUCGUAGAUAUUGGGAGGAACACCCGUGACGAAGGCGGCUCUCUGGACCAAUACUGACGCUGAGACGCGAAAGCGUGGGGAGCAAACAGGAUUAGAUACCCUGGUAGUCC